rnacentral:rRNA from 1 species
UACGUAGGGGGCUAGCGUUGUCCGGAUUUAUUGGGCGUAAAGAGCGUGUAGGCGGCCAGGUAGGUCUGCUGUGAAAACUCGAGGCUCAACCUCGAGACGUCGGCGGAAACCAUCUGGCUAGAGUCCGGAAGAGGAGAGUGGAAUUCCUGGUGUAGCGGUGAAAUGCGCAGAUAUCGGGAAGAACACCCGUGGCGAAGGCGGCUCUCUGGGACGGUACCGACGCUGAGACGCGAAAGCGUGGGGAGCGAACAGG